GACGAACGCUGGCGGCGUGCUUAACACAUGCAAGUCGAACGGUAAGGCCCUUUCGGGGGUACACGAGUGGCGAACGGGUGAGUAACACGUGGGUAAUCUGCCCUGCACUCUGGAAUAAGCCUGGGAAACUGGGUCUAAUACUGGAUAGGACUUCUGGCCGCAUGGUCUGGGAGUGGAAAGUUUUUCGGUGCAGGAUGUGCCCGCGGCCUAUCAGCUUGUUGGUGGGGUAAUGGCCUACCAAGGCGACGACGGGUAGCCGGCCUGAGAGGGUGAUGGGCCACACUGGGACUGAGACACAGCCCAGACUCCUACGGGGGGCAGCAGUGGGGAAUAUUGCACAAUGGGCGAAAGCCUGAUGCAGCGACGCCGCGUGGGGGAUGACGGUCUUCGGAUUGUAAACCCCUUUCAGUAGGGACGAAGCGCAAGUGACGGUACCUGCAGAAGAAGCACCGGCCAACUACGUGCCAGCCGCCGCCGUAACAC
rnacentral:rRNA from 1 species